rnacentral:rRNA from 1 species
UCCUACGGGAGGCARCAGUAAGGGAAUCUUCCGCAAUGGGCGAAAAGCCUGACGGAGCAACGCCGCGUGAGUGAAGAAGGAAUUUUCGGUUCGUAAAGCUCUGUUGUUAGGGAAGAAUGAUUGUAUAGUAACUAUAUACAGUAGAGACGGUACCUAACCAGAAAGCCACGGCUAACUACGUGCCAGCAGCCGCGGUAAUACGUAGGUGGCAAGCGUUGUCCGGAAUUAUUGGGCGUAAAGCGCGCGCAGGUGGUUUAAUAAGUCUGAUGUGAAAGCCCACGGCUCAACCGUGGAGGGUCAUUGGAAACUGUUAAACUUGAGUGCAGGAGAGAAAAGUGGAAUUCCUAGUGUAGCGGUGAAAUGCGUAGAGAUUAGGAGGAACACCAGUGGCGAAGGCGGCUUUUUGGCCUGUAACUGACACUGAGGCGCGAAAGCGUGGGGAGCAAACAGGAUUAGAUACCCUGGUAGUCCACGCCGUAAACGAUGAGUGCUAAGUGUUGGUCUCAUAAGAGAUCAGUGCUGCAGCUAACGCAUUAAGCACUCCGCCUGGGGAGUACGACCGCAAGGUUGAAAACUCAAAUGAAUUGACGGGGA